rnacentral:rRNA from 1 species
UACGGGGGGAGCAAGCGUUGUUCGGAUUUACUGGGCGUAAAGGGCUUGUAGGCGGCGUGACAAGUCACUUGUGAAAUCUCCGGGCUUAACUCGGAACGGUCAAGUGAUACUGUCGUGCUAGAGUACAGAAGGGGCAACUGGAAUUCUCGGUGUAGCGGUGAAAUGCGUAGAUAUCGGGAGGAACACCAGUGGCGAAGGCGACUUCUUGGCCUGUUCUUGACGCUGAGGCGCGAAAGCGUGGGGAGCAAACAGG